rnacentral:lncRNA from 10 species
AUUGACAGUGAUGCCAAGGGCUGUCAGGAUGCCUCCUAGAAAUGUGGAUUAAAUCUAGACCCUGAGACUGUGUCCAACUCUGUGGUCUGACAACACCUUUAUGCUGUCAGUACUCAAUCAGUGCUCUUCCCCUUCAUCAUUGUCAGUAAUAUCAUCCUCCCACCAGUAAAUGUGAACUCUGCCUCACAGCCAUGGCAGCUCCCACAGACCUGAAGUGUGAACCCAUCUCUGGGCUUCAGUUGGCAAUUGAAUUGCAGCAGAAACCAUACCAACUCCUGAUGUGUGAAAAAGACGAGGAUCUGAAUGGCACUGUGCUUUAUCGGCCAUAAACACACAGUUUAUGAAGAAAAAAACUUAAAGGAAGGAAUAAAUGACUCUUUAGGUUCACUACUAAUGGCUAUUCUUUUUCUCUCUAAUUUUAAAAGUAGAACGUGGUCAUAGACAAUUGGGAAAAUUACAGAAAGGCAUAAAGAGAAAUACAAAAAUGACCCAUAACAGCACCACGCAGAGAUAACCACAGUUAACAUUUUAUUGUUUCUCUUUCCUGUCACUCUUGCAUACAGAUAAAUACAUAUUUUACAUAAAAGUAGAUCACAGAAAAUAGAUGACCCACUUUUUAUUCAUCUUUAAUAUUACGGGCACUAACCCAGAUCAUUUUCAUUAAAUAUUAUUCAGAAACAUGAUUUUUAUACAUUAGGGUAGUCCACUUUCACAUUUCUCUCUGUCCUGUUUGGCAUCCAUGAGUCCAAAAUAAGGACCUCAUAUUAAGGAUAGUUGUUGCUAAAACGUUGACUUUCCAUCCUCAAUGUUUGUCAUACACUGGGUCCUCUAGAAAGUGUCUGUGAGAGAGGGUAUGUGGGCUAUUAACUGAUUGGAAACACAGUUGAAGGAAGCAGUAGCAGAGGAUGAGGGGAGAGAGGCUGGGAAGGAUGGAGAGUCAAUACAAUAAAGCAUUUUCCAGCAGGUUGCCACAGGACUGCCUGGGAAGCUCUAUAAUCAGAAUCGAAAGAUCAUCCAUAGGAAGACGGAAGGAGACUAUCCACAUGCAACCAUCUGCUGCUGGAUGAAGAUUCACUCCACAGAGUGCCAGUGUUCUUGCAUUUCUGGGUUGCACAUGCACGAACACCAGGUGGAGUCUCUUGCCAUGGGCCUGAGGCAAAGCCCUGUCAGGCUGGAGCUGUGUGGAGUCAUGGGAGCUGGUGCACAGCAGCACCUUGGUAAUACAGAGAUAAAAGAUCAGCCUUUAUCCCAAAGAGGCUCCUAGUCCCAACAUUUUGGUAAGGCUUUUUUCCCUCUCUUUGGUUUUGGGGCUCCUUAGUUUAGAUGUAUUUCUUUCUAAUUUUUCUUUUCUCCUUUAGUCAACGAAUAAGGAAGAAGAUUGUGUAUUUUUUCCUUUUAGCAAGUAGACAAAAGUCUUCAUUCUACACCUAGAUUAUUUUUGGAAGUGGACUAGAGAAGUAACUAGGGAAAAGAAAUAGCAGCUAUGAUGUAGGCAAAUCAAAAGGCAGUGAAAUAGAUAGAUAAGCUUUAUCUUCUUUUCUAACUCUAAGACUUCAUGGUACCUAUUGAUACGGUUAGGUUUUGUGUCCCCACCCAAGUCUCAUCUGAUUUAUACUCCCUAUAAUCCCCACAUGUCAAAGGAGAGAUGAGGUGGAGGUAAUUGGAUCAUGGGGGCAGUUUCCCCCUGCUGUUCUUGUGAUAGUGAGUUCUCACGAGAUCUGAGUUUUUCAAGUGUUUGGCAUUUCCUUCUGCAUUCAUUCUCCCUCCUGCUGCCUUAUGAAGAACAUGCCUUGCUUCCGCUUGCCUUCUGCCACGAUUAUAAGUUCCCUGAGGUCUUCCCAGCCUUGCAGAAAGGCACCUCUGAGGCAUUAAAGAACAUUUGGGGAAGCUGAAAUCCAGGAGCUACACCAGCAGCAGAAGUGGCCACUCCUCCAAUCACCUGGCAGUCUUCCCAGGCAGAAGGUAGAAGAUGCCUGGCCUCCUUGCCAGCACUCCUUCCUUGAGCAUCCCAGUGGCCAAACCACCACCAGCCGACUCUACCCAAAGUGCCUGGUUGCAGGAGCCAGGCACUCAGGGCUCCCGAAUCCCUGCUCCUUUUUGUCCUCUUUUGCUCUUGCUUGGUGUGACAUGCCUCUUCUGCAACUGCUGAAGUAAUUCACCGCACGUUUUCACUCUUUCCUCAUUUUUUCCACCUGGCAGAAGCGUGAAGAAAGAUUACAGACACAUGGGAUACCUCUGUGUUGCUGCAUCACUCUGGAAACAGACGUCAUUACCUCAGAUGAACUUGCAGGGAGUAAUUGAGAUGGCAACGAUGAUCAGAAGGAGAAUGGAAGAUUGUGAUAAGGCAGCCUGUGUUUGUGUGUACAGACUCACCACCUGUGACUUAGGAGAAGGAAAACGCAGAGUAUACUGUGCUCCCUAGAAGACAGAGGCCACAUAGAAGCCCAGCAACGCUGCCUUCUGUCAUCUAUUGAAAUUGUACACCCUCUUUCACACCAGGGGCUGUGUUCUCCACACCCAAAUAUGGACAAUGAGACAAGAUUUAAGAAAUGUUGAUAUCCUGAGAAAUCUCGCAGAAGGAGCCAAGAUUCUGAAUUAAUCAGAGGCAGGAAAAAAUUGCCUAAAAAAAUAUCGACAAAAUGUGAAGCGUACAACCUGUUCCAGUUCUCUUCAAGACUGUAAACUCCUGGCCUUCUCUGGAACCUUUGAAAAAUGGCAGUGUAGUGGAGUAAAGACAGGCAAGGGGAAGACAUGUGGAAGAGAAGAAAUCAGACUGAUGCAUGAUUGGAAACUCAGAAUUACAUAACUCGAUUUGUCCCUUUUAAGUCAUUACUGACUGCUGAUUCAUCUCCAUUCAUGAAUGUUUUGGGUGCAGUUAGAACUACAUUUUAAUGAACAAUAUAACCUAAUUAUGAUUGAGCAUUUUACUUUUCCAUGGACUGUAAAGAUAUUUGUUGAGUGGCUUAGAGGUUUGCAUACCAGAGUUUCCUGGUCAAAAGCGUGCAUUAUGCAAUCAGUUUUUACCUCAAACAUUCACAUAUGGAUUCCCCUAUCUUGCUUGGUUACUUUAUUGGUACCAAGAACAUGAAACCUCUUUCUUUCUUGCACCCCCAGGUAUAUCCCAAUACAUGUUCUGUUUUAAUGUAAUUUACUAUUAUUCACAUUGCUUAAGGGAUGACAAAGUAUCUACUUGUUCUCAAGUUUUAUUACUGGCUGAUGUGUGUCAGACUAGACUUGGCUCUGUAUAUAAAUAUACUCCAGUAGAGAGACCCAGCCUCUGUGAUCCCAAAUACAUUCAUUGGAACAAUAAGUGUGAGUGCUUGCUAUGUGCCUAGCAUGUUACAGCUGAGAUGGACCCACAAGUGAAACAGACACUGCUGUGUUUCUUUCUUGAGUAGGAGAAGUAAGUCAUGGACAGGAGAAACUAAAGCACUAGGUAUACAAAGGCAAGAGCUCCAAGGGAUCAAAGUGCUGUCAUAUUCAAACAAGGGGUCUGCCUUGAGGGAUCGUGGGAGAGGGCAUUUGCACUAGCUGCAGUCUUGAUUGUGCCAAGAAGGAGAUGUUCCAACUGGGUAUAGGAGCAUGAAAGAAGCCCACAGCUGGGGAACACAGAGAUGCACUGGGAGGGAGCUGUGUAUGGUUUCAUUUGAUUGGAGUUUUGGUUGUGUGGAGGAUGGUAGUUGGAGAUAAAAUGGGGGCCAAAUUUUCAAGAUUCCUGGAUGUUAGGAAGAGCACUAGAACUUUAUUUGUUAGGCAGUUGUGCAUCCCUAAAAAAUGUGAGCAUCUUAACAUUAUGAUGAGAACCAUGAUUAGUGGAGAGUUACCUGGAGGCAGGCCGUGUACACAAGGAAUUGGAGGCACAUGGGGGUUAGAGAAAGAGAUGCAGUAGAGGCUGGUGAGUUAGGAAGAGUUGUAAUAAGGGAUGGAGCAGGUGGAAUGAAGACACAGAACUAGUGACCAAGGCCUUGUGGAAGAGCCAACACUUUAACCACUGAUUCAGAGUGGGAUGGAGAGGAAGAUGAAGGAUUAGGGGUUAGAUGGCAAGGAGAAAGAUGGUGGCAUUAACAGAAUUGGAUAGGAAAGGAGGAAUGUGGUUGGGCUGUGUGUGGGGGGCGGGGGUGGAAGUUGUUGGGCAGGAAAGAGCUAUGGCCAAGCUAGUUUUCUUUCUAAUCCUGAUCUGACACUUCCUUAGCACUGCAAUAUUAAGUGGUUGUGCCCCUCUGAGCAUGCUCCUGCAUCUGUAAAAUACACCUUUAAUUCUUAGGAUUCUUUAUUUCAAUUAUUUAAGAGAAUUAGAGAAUGAAAUGGUUCAAGCAGUUCUCAGAAAGUAAGAAAAGGAAAGAGCAGGAAAUACAAUAUGGAAAUAUGAACUUUCUCCUGCUGCAUAAGAUUUAAACUCUUGACAUUUAAAGCGGAAAAACACAAUUUAAAGAAUGACUGAAGGGUAUGUUAAUUAUUUGUGAAGAGGCAGAAGAUUCUUCUUUGACACUUAAGAUGGCAAUAAUUUUGAGCAGCACAUACAUUGGCCAUGUUUAUAAUUAUGGCUAAUUGUACAAUGAGUAGUAAAUAGGAAAUGGAUUGAAAUUUCCAAAAAAAAGACAUGAAUGGACUUUAAAUGAAUAUUACAAGCUAACAAAAAAUAAAUAAAUAAAAAUAAA